UAUCUCUGUAGAGUCUGCAUAUCAAUAAGCGGAGGAAAAGAAACUAACAAGGAUUCCCUUAGUAACGGCGAGUGAAGCGGGAAGAGCUCAAAUUUGAAAUCUUCAAGGUUCUACCUUGACGAAUUGUAGUUUAAAGAAGUGUUUUCUGUUAGAUGAGUAGCAAAAGUUCCUUGGAAUGGGACAUCAUAGAGGGUGAGAAUCCCGUAUUUGGUUAUUCAUUCUAGCUUUGUGAUACACUUUCAAAGAGUCGGAUUGUUUGGGAAUGCAGUCCAAAAUGGGUGGUAAAUUUCAUCUAAAGCUAAAUAUUGGCGAGAGACCGAUAGCGAACAAGUACCGUGAGGGAAAGAUGAAAAGAACUUUGAAAAGAGAGUUAAACAGUACGUGAAAUUGUCAAAAGGGAAGCGUUUGACACCAGUGUUGUUUUUCCGAAAAUCAAUUACGAAUGGCUUGAUUCUGUGUUGUAUUGACCUUAUCAGCUUUCUGCACUUUUUUCGAGUCUUUCUUAAUGCACUUUUCGGUUAACAAGUCAACAUCAAUUUCUUUUGUUGUAGAAGAGUAUUCGGAAGGUGGCUUUCUUUUCGGAGAAAGUGUUUAUAGCCCUAUACUUCUACAAUCGGAGAGAUUGAGGUCUGCAGCGUAGAUCCUUCGGGGUUAGAUACAUUUGUGCUAAGUUGUAGCUUUUCAUAGGACAACUUGUUGACUAUGUUUAGUCAUGCGGCUUACUCGCUUAUGCUAUUUUACCUACGCUUAGGAUGUUGACUGAUAUGUAGUCGUA
rnacentral:rRNA from 1 species